CAAAAACAGACUUCAUAAUUACCAGUUCCGGAAUAACAAGGAAAUGAACAACAAGUCCGUAUCAACCUGUCAAGUUCAGAUGCGACAAGCGCCUAGUUUUGGUAGAGCGGGUCACAAAUGUAAAAUAAGCUUCGUGGUUUCUCGGAAACCUAAAAACUAGGUCGCGUAUGCGCGCGCACGUUGUGUAUCAAAACAGCCGAUUCCGGCCCGUGGUUCUGACAUGCUGCGAGGAUUCAAGUAUUGCAUGUACUGGGACUAAUCAGGAGCAAAAACGCCCGUGACUGGAUAGUAUAAGCUUGUCCGGGACCUACGAUGCUAGUGAUUGGAUAGUUAUUGCCAGUCCUAGCCACUACUGAUUCUGUGAAACUCGGGGAUAGGAGCUGUAUAUGACAUGACAAACGGAAUAGGAAAAACGUUUUUUAAAUCCAUUGUCAGAUUUUGAAAAGGAUUUAUUUCCGAAAAUCAAUUGGUCGUAUCAUGUGGUGCUGCUGUAUUUCGUCAUCUUCAG